rnacentral:rRNA from 1 species
ACCGAAUAGAUACCCGGGUAGUCCACGCCGUAAACGAUGAGUGCUAAGUGUUAGAGGGUUUCCGCCCUUUAGUGCUGCAGCAAAAACGCAUUAAGCACUCCGCCUGGGGAGUACGGUCGCAAGACUGAAACUCAAAGGAAUUGACGGGGGCCCGCACAAGCGGUGGAGCAUGUGGUUUAAUUCGAAGCGACGCGAAGAACCUUACCAGGUCUUGACAUCCUUAUGCCUUCCCUAGAGAUAGGGCGUUCCCUUCGGGGACAUAAGUGACAGGUGGUGCAUGGUUGUCGUCAGCUCGUGUCGUGAGAUGUUGGGUUAAGUCCCGCAACGAGCGCAACCCUUGAUCUUAGUUGCCAGCAUUCAGUUGGGCACUCUAAGGUGACUGCCGGUGACAAACCGGAGGAAGGUGGGGAUGACGUCAAAUCAUCAUGCCCCUUAUGACCUGGGCUACACACGUGCUACAAUGGAUGGUAC